AGGAGGAGGAGGAGGAGGAGGAGGAGGAGGAGGAGGAGGAGGAGGAGGAGGAGGAGGAGGAGACAGUCAUGGAUGAAGGGACGUCACAGAUCAUGCACAUUUGCUUCCAUAUUGGCACAGAUCCUGGAACUUAUGCAGAGGAUGGGCAUACAGUUCCAGGCCCUGCCACCGCCACCACCACCACCACCACCACCCCCAGCACAGCCACAGGAGGGGGAGGAGAAGGCCCUGCUGGCACCCAACCCCCCACCAUCCCAGGACACUCUUCCUACAAUGGAGAGAUCAGAUUGUUCCACUGAGUACACCUCCAGCCUUUUGAAAGUAGUGGUGUUGGCAGAAGUCUUAAGAAGUCCACCCCACCACUACCACCACCACCACCACUUGUCCCUUCUGCAGGCACCUGACGGACUUUGAGCUGGUGCAGCGUCUGGCGCGGUGC